rnacentral:tRNA from 2 species
AGCGGGGUCGAGGAAUUGGUCAACUCAUCAGGCUCAUGACCUGAAGACUGCAGGUUCGAAUCCUGUCCCCGCCU